GUGAGUCGGUGACAAAAAUAAGUGUUAAAUGUAAUUAUUUUUGUUUGCCUUUUGUGUUUUUGCUACACAUCUUCAUCCGCUCUUGGUACUGCAUGUUUAAAAGAUUGUGUGCAUUUUUCGAUCUUGUUACUGUCUCACACACCUCACAUCGACCACGUUUUUUCAGGUUAAAUUGCUGAACUGUUUCUUUUUUUUUUUUUCCUUUUUUUUCUUUUUUUUUCCGGCUGAGAUAAUUUUGCCAUGCUGGCAAACAUUUUGGUGCAUUGAUGUGAUGUCUCAGGCAAGCUAUGAAAACAUGUUUCAGGUAACUCAUUUGAACCAAUUUAAUGUUGUACAAGUGUGUGUUUGUUUAGUUAGUUUGGAAUUAUCAUACAGUAUUUUUAUGUCUGUUGUAUUUCUCUGUAGACUGCACUGAUGCAGACUGUAGGUAAUGGCUUGGCAUAUGACUGAUACAUGCUUGUUUGUUCAUACUCAUUUUCAAAGGUAAGUAGUAAUAGUUCUGUAUUUCUGUUUAAAAUACUAAUUUUACAUUCAAUAAGCUUUGAAUCAUUGUUGAGAUGAAAAGAUGAUGUAGUUAAAUGAGUUAGGAUAUAUUUUGAUUGAUUAUUUCUGAUGUUUAUAUUUCUAGUUGAAAACUGAUUGAUCAUUGUCACCAGUGAGCAAGUAAAUGACAGCCCAUUACCAAAGCAACCAAAAAUGGAAUGCAUUAUCCAUUGCUCUGAUGACACAGAUAAGCUGGUUUCACUUCAAAGUGUUCACUCCUGGAGAACUCUUCUCAGGGCAGCUCAGAUACCGAAGCAUGCACCAGUUUUAGAAAUGGCAAACUGUUCUGCACAAAAAGGGGAGAAAUCGAGUCCAGCCAGCUGCCACCAUGUAGAGAUUGUCUCUACAUGCAUAUUAAACAGGCAAACUACCAGGCAGAAAUCUGGAACCGCUGUCUACAAGCUUCUCCUGUUGUGCCAAGCCCUGUGCUUCAUGGAUG